UAAUCCUCAAACGUGGUCGUUUGGUUCCAUCGGUCCAAUCACCAUCCUCAAAUCUUUUCUUUUUCUUUUAUUUUUCAACCAGCUCGACCGUGACAUGUGUGCUUCAUUUUUACCUUUUUUUUUAAUCUGCUUCUUACCAUACGACGUCGUUUCUUCACCCCACCAAAAAACCUCCUCUCCGCCGGCAGCUAUUGUUGACCUUCUUCCGGCCCUCCACCUCCACGUCCUGCUUCCGUCGAUGUCGGCUCCCAUUCACGUGUCCUCUUCUCCUCGUCCCACCGCUGCUCCUUUUUCCACCCACAUAAGCUUACUCCAAUUUGCCGCCGCCGUAUACGGAUCCUAUACGCUGAUUCCUGGAGAGAGAUAAGCUUGAGAAUUUUUUUAAUUAAUUAUUUUUUGACGAAAAUGGGGAAAUAUCACGAUACAGAGCACCCAGUUGGGGCAUUCGGGUGGGCUGGCAGAGAUACUUCCGGCGUCCUUUCUCCGUUCAACUUUUCUAGAAGAAGGUGGUGAAGGAUUUGUCGAGAUAUUUUAAUGGAGUUCGCCGGAAUGCUUUGGUGCUAUCCGGAAGCAAAAGACCGUCGUCCGAGUCUUUUCGGAGCAGUGAUGAUCGUCUAUUUAGCAAUCCUAAGGUGGUGAAGGAUUUGUCGAGAGAUUUUAAUGGAGUUCGCCGGAAUGCUUUCGUGCUAUCCGGAAGCAAAAGCCCGUCGUCGGAGUCUUUUCGGAGCAGUGAUGAUCGUCUAUUUAGCAAUGCCAAAAGGUGUAUGAAUUGAUUUUUCUUCUAGGCCUUUGGGAAUUACGUUUAUUUGGGUGUAUGAAUUGAUUUUUCUUCUAGGCCUUUGGGAAUUACGUUUAUUUGGGUAAUACUACUAAUCAGUUCCUAUAUUUACCAUUUAAUUCGAUUAUUUUGCCAUUUGUUUCUCUGUAAUUUUUUGUCAAUAUUGAUGUGGCUGAUAUUGGUUUCUUAUCUUCACCGGUUAUUUGUUUUGCUGAGGAUUGAUGAAAGAUUGAUUCAUUGUAGACAUCUACCAUAGGUAUCUUAACUAUUACCAAUAAGGCGUUUUAAUUUUAUUUUGAUGCGUGUUCUCUCCUUCGUUAUUCCUUCAAUGAGGGAGUCGGAUUAUUUUGGUAUCAUAUAACUGUAUAUAUAUGCCAACGGCUGUUGCCAGUAUUUGAAAGUCGUUUCCUUGUAUCAUAAUUUUUUUACUGUACUUCGGGAAUUGGAAUCUUCAUGGCUUUGCUUUGUAGGUACUGAUCGCCAAGUCAGUAGUCCUGGAAUUGCUUUCUUGUGUUUCGGCUUGGUCUUGGGCUCUCUAUUCAUUUACAGGUUUGGCCCUUUUUUUUCCCCCGGCUCCGGCUUGCUCUUGGUCUCUCUCUGUUCAUAUACAGGUUUCUUGCUUGUUGGAUAAUUAUAUUAUUAUUUCGCUGGUGCCAUUUCCUUUUGCACCUGAUUUUAUUCGGGCGAGUGAAUUCUGAGAUGGAGAUGAGUUCGGCCACGUUUGUUGAUGGCGCCACUCCAAUGAGUAGCUUUGCGGCGACUUCGUUUCCUUUAUGUCUCUUAUAUAUAUAUUUUUUUUCUUACGAUUUUCUUUGAUUCGUUUAGGUUUUUGCAUUUUUUGGAUUAUUUGAACUUAAUGUCUUGUUGCUGUUUUGAUGUUUGUACAAAUUGUACGCCUCCCGAUGAAAAAAUUAGCGGGCAUGGUAUGACGGCCAGGAUUUAUAGAGGUAAAAUUAUCAUCUAUUUAGUGCGUUCUUGUUUCUGUUACACAAUGUACUUCUUUUUAUUUGUCUAUUUUUCUCGGUUCCGAAAUUACGGAUGUUUAUUGUGCUCUAAAUUUUGAUUAUGAUUCUUUUCAAAAUAUGGCUGCUGCUGUUGGUUUCUUCAGCAGCCACCACCAGGUUCGCUCUGAUGUAUUUUUUCUUCACGUCACUUUUUCCUUUGAGUUCAGUUUAAUCAGGCUCUGUAAAAGGGCUCUAUAAUUCUUCAAUUCCUUAGGUGGAUCUUCACUGCCUGUUUCUUCACAUUGUUGGAACUUACUGACCGCCCUUAGCUGGCUCCUGGGUCCGGUUAGCUGGUCAUUAUAAAUAAUAUUCCGCAAAUUUCCGGAAUAAAAUUCAUUAAAAUGGCUAUUUUGAUUAAUGAGUACAUUUGACUAUUUGUGAGGAUAAGUUCUUUGGUCUUCUACUCUGAUGAUACUCGAUCACAUUGAACUAUAGUUUGGAGUGAACCCCAUAGUCAUAGGCUGAAAAUGGUGUUCGUUUUGUAUUAUCUCUCCAGGUCGUACUUGCUGCCUUGAGCUUCAGGUUGUACUUUCACGCUGCCAAACGUUUUCGCAAGUUUCCCAACGGAAGAACACGGGUGGUUAGUUGGCAGUCCUGAUACUAAUAGUUUAUAACUUUUUUAUAGGUGUGGUAAGGGCAGGGAGUAGAAGCUGUGGAGGUCCGAGCCUGCUUGGAUUUCAUUCGUGGGGUUGACUACGCGCCUAAUUGCCUGGGGACAACGACGAAUAAAAUUCCUGAAAUAGUGCAACAAUCUUAUACUGUCGUGCCCAACAUUGUGCUGGCUCAAACCUAGGGAUAUGAAUGCAAGGGAUAUGAAUGCAGGGGAAUAAUGAAGAAUCAAAUACUUUAAAUAGUGGAACAAUCUUAUACGGUCAAACUUGUGGAAGAAUUCCGCCACAGUGAAACCAAAAAACGUUGUCAAUUUGGAUCGCCAAUUUUUGUCGUCGAAAGCGAAUGGAUGAACGCUGCAGCGGGAUUAGCAUUUACACCACAUGUACUACACGUUGGAGUCAGAGAGUAUAUUGCGGCAAAAAUACUGGCAUUUGCACGACAGAGACCAAAAUGUGUUAUGCAUCAUUGCAGUCCUAGAUUGUCCAUGUUGAUUGUAAGUAAUUACUUUAUGGUCUUGUCCUUUUGUUCGAGCUAUCAUUAUUUUAUUUUCUGACUCGCUAUUUCUAGAUAAAUAGUGUCGUUUUGAGAUAUUGUGCUUGUCCGAUUCGUACUUUCUCUCGGAAAGCGGUCGGCGCCGCAUUCGGACAGGUGCUGUGUAGUCCUGAUGGCCAUAUGAUUGGAGGUGCAAUAGUUGGUACUGUUAUUGUAGCAAACCCUGUGCAGGUAUUUGGUCUAUUUACUUUGUUUUUUUGUUAAAAAACGGGUUACUUUUCUUAGGCAUUGUUUGGUUCAUAAGAUAAGAUUAACUAAGAUAAGAAUAUUACAUAAUGUAAUGAAAAUUCGAUUGUAUUAUUGAACCAAUAAAUAAUAAUGUAUUGGUCACCCUAUGCCCGCCGGCGUUUUGCAGCAGGGUUUUUUUUUUCCCCAAACCGCUGCCUAAAACACAACUUUGUUUUCCAAACUUCUUUCUGCGUUCCCCUUCUUGGUCAGUGGUCGGCGGCCUAUAAUUUCUGGCGCCACCAGCAGCAGCUUGUCGCAUCUUUGCAACGUUGUUUGAUAUUCGGCCGCCACCUCCUCUUUUGUUCGAAUAUUAUCCUGCAUCUUCGCCACCUAAGUUUGCUGUACAGCCCCCACCUCCUCUCUGCCAGCUGCGACUAUUGACUCAAUUCCUUAUUCUUUCGCCAUAUGAAGUUCCCAUGAUUUUAUGUAAAUUUGCUGCUACGUACAUUUUUUGGGCUUUCGAAGCUAUUUCAAGAUUGCCACUUUCUGAUAUUAUGGGUUCCAUUUUUCGUGUUUUGCUUCUUUCUUUUCGAUGGGUGUUUUGUUGGAAUUAAUUAAAUAACAAAUUUUUUGGUUGUGCAUAGUGAAUUCUAUCAGUGGGAGUGGGGUUCUGGAUAACCUUUGUUUUACGUAAUUUCUUUUAUCAUCAUAAUGAAUUCACAUUGACAUUGUCUGGAGGUGUACAUUUCGGCGGUUUUGCUUUGUUCGUUAACUUUAAAGAAUUGAUUUACUUUUUAAGCUUCAGUUGUCAUAUUCGGUUGCGAUGGAAAGACUUCAUUCAGACACGGGCACAUUCUUGGUUUGUAUCGGCUUUUGGUUAAUUUAAUUACGAUGAAUAUUACCUUUUUUUUUUUUGUCUUCUGGAAUAACUAAGUCCUUUUGCUCGUCAAAUAGAUUCCAGAUUGUGAUUGGAAGCUUAUACUUCAAUUUGUUUUCUUUUAUUGUUUGUUGUGAAUUAUUCCUUAUUUUUCAGUUCGAGAUCGGUUUAGAGGAUUCUGAAUUGAAGCCCUCAUUUUCAUCCUCUGGAGUACCACACCAACUGGGAGGAAAGUGUUACAUUUAUUUUCAUUAUGGUCUGUUUUAAAUUUCGUUGGCUAUAGAUAGUUCAUUUGCUGAUUUUACUUGUUUCGAAGAGUGUUCGCGUACUAUCGGCGAGACAAGAUUUGCCCCCCCCCCCCCUCCCGCCCGAAACAUUGCGCCGUCCACUUGCUCUGCAACCCAAUACUUUCCGCUGAAGUGCCUCCCACCAAACCGCUCCAGUUUGCCGCCUCAGACGUUUAAAGGUCCUCUGCUCUCGACCUUAACCUCGCUCCAUAUAUUAUUGUUGUCGAUGGUUAAUGGGAAAGAUGAACUGUGCUGCUGUUUCUCUUCGGUUUACAUGAACGUAUGCUCAUGUUGUCGUGCUCUACGUCGUGCUCUACCGGCCGCCUGCUGCAUACUUACUGAAGUAAAACGUCAGUGUGUUCACAAAUACAAUCAGUUGCCCAAUUUAAUUACAGGUAUAAUUCCUAAAUUUUUAUUUUGUGCAUGUGCCGAAAUUCAUUCACCAAAACAUAUGCCCUGAAUAUGUUGAACUUUCAGAUUUUUUGACGUCUUAGUUCUUAUUCAGGCUUUUGUGUUACUACCUCAGGUCUUCCCUUCAAUUGGGAACUUGUGCUUCUGCUUUAUGGUUGUAGGCAUGGUUAUGGUGAUCUAUUUACGUUGUUGUCGUAAUUUUAUACAUUAUUAGUACAUGCACAACAUCUAGCAAAGAGAAUGAAUUUACACUAGAGAAAUAUUGUACUGGGAUGGUAUGGUUCUAUGGAGAUGAAUCAAAUAGGCCCCAAAAAAGAAAAUGGAAGAGGCCCCAAAACAAAAAAUGGCGACGCUAACAAAAUAGUCUUGUUUUAGUUGAUUUGGAUCUAUCAUCAUCUUUUUCAGUUCACGGGUCCGUUGUCGAAGUGACCCGAUGUUCUUUACAAUUAAUGUCAAUAAAAUAACUGUUAUUACUCGUAUGUACAUUUCUUCUUGUUUUGAUUGGUAAUGAUGCAGGUGUUUUUAUGUGCCUAAUUCGAGUUGCAAACUUGUUUUCCUGAUAUCUAGCAGUGUUUACUCAUAUUUAAACACUUCAUUUUUUGCACAGAUUAAACACUAUCCAUUAUGUUGUCUUUUGUUUCCUUGAUUGCUAUUUAACAGGAGUUUCUUUCAUAAAGGAACUAUGAAGCAAGACUAUGCAGAGGUUUCUACAUGGAUUUGUCUUUUUUGUGGUGAAAUGUGAUUAGGAUGUGGAAUGUUCACCUCUCCACUUCUCAUUAUCGCGAGGUAUUUUACUUUUUGUUUUUUUUCUUUUCUUCCUCAUUUUGUACUGGUUGGUUUUGUAGAUAAGAAUGGAGCACCCCGGAUUUUGUAUUCGAAGCUGUUUUCCCAUUCCUUUGCGGAUUCGGAGCAACAUCUCAACAAUUUGCAAUUGCCCUGUUGUACAUUUUAACGAGGAUGCUCGUGUUCCCCACUUCAAAGGCCCAAUUUCCUGAACAUAGCCUCGGUAGAAGCAAACCCAACUAAUACGCAAGUCCUUGCUCACCGAGCCAACCUCGUCCGACACCAUUUACGAGAAGGUGCCGUCGUCUCAAUCAUAUAUUGUUUCAGGAAGGCCAAUUUCGGCGAGGGGAGGUGUGUAUCUUCAGCCAGAGAGAACGGAAGUACCCCAACGGCGAAAGGUCAAAUCAGGCCUCAAAGUCGGGAUAAUGGAAAGCCACUGGUAUAGGAUAGCACGAGGUUUUGUUUAUUACAAGAUAUCAGAAAAACCGAGUUACUUUGGGUAUUUAAGAAUUUUUCUUGCUCAUUGAGUAAUUUUUAUUUUGUUUUUGUUUUUGUUUGUUUAGCGCCUUGUCUUGCUCGUUGGCAUAUGGUUCUAAAUAAGUACAUUUCUUUAUCCAAUAUCAUUUUUUUUAGAUG